rnacentral:tRNA from 1 species
GGGCAACUAGCUCAGCUGGUCAGAGCGUCUCCUUUACACGGAGAAGGUCAGAGGUUCGAGCCCUCUGUUGCCCA